UUAAACAAGCCGCUAUG
rnacentral:tRNA from 25 species